GACGAACUUGGUGCCCCGGCCUUCGGGCGGUUAAUUUUGGGCGCGGCUUUGCCCACGGCCUAUUUUCGGCGCACGGAGGCGCCUUGCAAAGUCUCGCGGCAUUCCGAGUCCGGCGGACGAAGUUGGCCAGCCCCACCCCCCACGGCUAUAGCCCACCCGUUUUUGUGGCCUUUUUCCGCUGGACGAACUUGGCGCCCCGGCCAUCGGGCGGUUAUUUUAGGGCGCUACUUUGCCCGCGGCCUAUUUUUGGCGCACGGGGGACCCUCGCAAAGCCUCGCGGCCUUCCGAGUCCGGCGGACGAAGUUGGCCAGCCCCACCCCCCAACGCUAUAGCCCACCCAUUUUUGUGGCCUUUUUCCGUUGGACGAACUUGGCGCCCCGCCCUUUGGGCGGUUAUUUUUGGACGCAGCUUCACCCGCAGCCUAGUUUUGGCACACGGAGUCCCCUCGCAAUGUCUCGUGGCAUUCCGAGUCCGGCAGACGAAGUUGGCCAGCCCCAACCCCAAGGCUAUAGCCCACCCGUUUUUGUGGCCUUUUUCCGCUGGACGAACUUGGCGCCCCGGCCUUCGGGCGGUUAAUUUUGGGUGCGGCUUUGCCCGCGGCCUAUUUUUGGCACACAGAGGCCUCUCGCAAUGUCUCGCGGCAUUCCAAGUCCGGCGGACGAAGUUGGCCAGCCCCACCCCCCAAGGCUAUAGCCCACCCGUUUUUGUGGCCUUUUUCCGCUGGACGAACUUGGCGACCCGGCCUUCGGGCAGUUAAUUUUGGGUGCGGAUUUGCCAACGGCCUAUUUUUGGCACACGGAGGCCCCUCGCAAAGUCUCGCGGCAUUCCGAGUCCGGCAGACGAAGUUGGCCAGCAUCACCCCCCAAGGCUAUAGCCCACCCAUUUUUGUGGCCUUUUUCCGCUGGACGAACAUGGCGCCCCGGCCGUCGGGCGGUUAUUUUUGGGCGCGGAUUUGCCCGCGGCCUAUUUUUGGCACACGGAGGCCCCUCGCAAAGUCUUGCGGCAUUCCGAGUCCGGCGGACGAAGUGGGCCAGCAUCACCCCCCAAGGCUAUAGCCCACCCGUUUUUGUAGUCUUUUUCCGCUGGACGAACGUGGCGCCCCGGAACUUGCUGCUGCUACCUUUCUAUAAAAUGCACUACAAAAUUUUAUCACUAGAUAACAUAAAAUUUUGAACCACGAACCUUUUAAACAUCCCACGGCCUAUUUUUGGCACACGGAGUCCCCUCGCAACGUCUCGCGGUAUUCCGAGUCCGGCGGACGAAGUUGGCGGGCCCCACCCCCCAAGGCUAUAGCCCACCCAUUUUUGUGGCCUUUUUCCGCUGGACGAACUUGGUGCCCCGGCCUUCGGGCGGUUAAUUUUGGGCGCGGCUUUGCCCACGGCCUAUUUUCGGCGCACGGAGGCCCCUCGCAAAGUCUCGCGGCAUUCCGAGUCCGGCGGACGAAGUUGGCCAGCCCCACCCCCCACGGCUAUAGCCCACCCGUUUUUGUGGCCUUUUUCCGCUGGACGAACUUGGCGCCCCGGCGUUCGGGCGGUUAUUUUUGGGCGCAGCUUUGCCCGCGGCCUAUUUUUGGCACACGGAGUCCCCUCGCAAUGUCUCGCGGCAUUCCGAGUCCGGCGGACGAAGUCGGCCAGCCCCACCCCCCAAGGCUAUAGCCCACCCGUUUUUGUGGCCUUUUUCCGCUGGACAAACUUGGCGCCCCGGCCUUUGGGUGGUUAUUUUUGGGUGCGGCUUUGCCCGCUGCCUAUUUUUGGCACACGGAGGCCCCUCGCAAAGUCUCGCGACAUUCCGAGUCCGGCAGACGAAGUUGGCCAGCCCCAACUCCCAAGGCUAUAGCCCACACGUUUUUGUGGCCUUUUUCCGUUGGACGAACUUGGCGCCCCGGCCUUCGGGUGGUUAAUUUUGGGCGCGGCUGUGCCCGCGGCCUAUUUUUGGCACACGGAGGCCCCUCGCAAAGUCUCGCGGCAUUCCGAGUCCGGCGGAUGAAGUUGGCCAGCCCCACCCCCCAAGGCUAUAGCCCACCCGUUUUUGUGGCCUUUUUCCGCUGGACGAACUUGGCGCCCCAGAACUUGCUGCUGCUACCUAUCUAUAAAAUGCACUACAAAAUUUUAUCACUAGAUAACAUAAAAUUUUGAACCACGAACCUUUUAAACAUCCCACGGCCUAUUUUUGGUACACGGAGGCCCCUCGCAAAGUCUCGCGGCAUUCCGAGUCCGGCGGACGAAGUUGGCCAGCAUCACCCCCCAAGGCAAUAGCCCACCCGUUUUUGUGGCCUUUUUCCGCUGGACGAACUUGGCGUCCCGGCCUUCGGGCGGUUAAUUUUGGGACCGGCUUUGCCCGCGGCCUAUUUUUGGCACACGGAUUCCCCUCGCAAAGUCUCGCGGCAUUCUGAGUCCGGCGGACAAAGUUGGCCAGCAUCACCCCCCAAGGCAAUAGCCCACCCGAUUUUGUGGCCUUUUUCCGCUGGACGAACUUGGCGUCCCGGCCUUCGGGCGGUUAAUUUUGGGACCGGCUUUGCCCACGGCCUAUUUUUGGCACACGGAUUCCCCUCGCAAAGUCUCGCGGCAUUCUGAGUCCGGCGGACAAAGAUGGCCAGCCCCACCCACCAAGACUAUAGCCCACCCGUUUUUGUGGCCUUUUUCCGCUGGACGAACUUGGCGCCCCGGCCUUCGGGCAGUUAUUUUUGGGCGCGGCUUUGCCCGCGGGCUAUUUUUGGCACACGGAGGCCCCUCGCAAAGUCUCGCGGCAUUGCGAGUCCAGCGGACGAAGUUGCCCAGCCCCACCCCCCAAGGCUAUAGCCCACCCGUUUUUGUGGCCUUUUUCCGCUGGACGAACUUGGCGCCCCGGCCUUCGGGCAGUUAUUUUUGGGCGCGGCUUUGCCCGCGGGCUAUUU
rnacentral:lncRNA from 1 species